rnacentral:lncRNA from 1 species
UCAUAAAAGUCACUUGAACUGGUACAGCGGAGUGGUUUAUUGCACAUCAAAUGCGGGUUUCAACCUUUCUGUGCUGUCAGCGCUUUGAUUUCAUUACUACCCAGAGGACGGCUUGAUGGCUUGACUUAUAUUUUGAUUCAUACUUUAAAGUCAGUUUUAUUAGCUAAGUUUCUUUAAAUUUCAUUUUCUUUGUCAAAGUGCAUAAUUCGAACCCAUAAAAGUGCAUUGUUCUUGCCAAUGACAUUCCUGCGAACGCUAAAAUUACCUUGCAAUGUAUAGGAUUCCAGAUAUAUAUUUAAAAAAAAACAGUGGAAAUCCCACAUAUAUCUUUAGAAUUUAGACUUAAACUGUUUAUUUAGGUACUGUGACCUCAAGGAGUGUCUUAGGAUUCCGCAAACUUUGUCACGGUUCCAAAAUUUUGACGGAUUUCAGGAUUUGUGAUAUCAUUACAAUUUUAUAUUCUAUUUAUAAAAUACAUGCAUUUUGAAAAAAGUUGAUAUUUUCAAUGACAUUUUACUAAUAUUAACCAAAAACGACUUCGCACACGGAACAAAUUCCUUUUAUAGGGUGGAAGAGCACCAGAAAAACUAUAAACCAGUAAGGUAAAGACAGUGUGGGCCUUAAACAAAGAUGUCUGUCGGAAACGACGGAUUCACUAACUGCAACUGUGUCUGCGACCCAGAAAAUGGCAUGUCUUGGUCCUGUACAAAUUACUGUCCAGGUAUGUCUGUCGGGAGUGACGGCUUUACCAACUGCAAAGAGGUUUGCAACCCUAGCAAUGACAUGGCAUGGUCUUGCAAUGAAUACUGCAAAGGUUUCAUUUUCGUACACAAACAACACUGCCUGUAGAUCAAGAUGAAACGCACUUUGCAUUUUGGAUUUUACUUUCAUGUGUCGGAGCUAUAUUGAUGGCAGUUAUAAUAACAUAUUAUUGUUAUAGAAAGAAAAUUCGGCCAUUCAUUCAGAGACGCCGAGACAAACAACUGCCGUAUCCAACACAGGUAGCCAAUAUAUAAUA